rnacentral:tRNA from 1 species
AAAAUGGCAGAUUAUGCAUAGAUUUUAAGCGUCUAUUAUGAAUUUUACAUUCUUUU